UCCGAAUGGGGAAACCCCCUCUUUAUGAGGAGCUGUGUUACACAGGGAAAUUCUAAAUACUAAUUUCUAAAUCUCAAAUAAAUUCUAAAUUCAAAAUACUAAACAUUUAAAAUUUAGAUAUUGAAAAUUAUUUGGAUCUUAGAAUUUGUAAUUUUGGAUUUUCGUGCGUAGCACAGCGGGGAACGCCUCGAACUGAAACAUCUAAGUAGGGGCAGGAAAAGAAAUUACAAAGAUUCCGUAAGUAGCGGCGAGCGAAAGCGGAAGAGUCUAAACCCCACGUCGCUCCGCAAGGAGCUAUGAGGGGGGUUGCGGGACUACAAUAUGGGAGUAAUUUAGAUAACCAAAGCGUCUGGAAAGGCGCGCCAUAGACCGUGACAGCCGGGUAGGUGAAAUUUAAGUUACCCUUAGUAGUAUCCCAAGUACCAUGGAGCACAUACUCUGUGGGAAUCCGGGGUGACCACACUCCAAGACUAAAUACUCUAGCAUACCGAUAGUGAACUAGUACCGUGAGGGAAAGGCGAAAAGAACGGGCAAAACCCGAGUGAAAUAGAACCUGAAAUUGUCUGCUAUCAAGCAGAUAGAGUCCCUCGGCCGCAAGGCUCGGGAUGAUAUCGUGCCUAUUGAAGAAUGAUCCGGCGAGUUUUCGUCCAGUGCAAGCCUAACUCCGCCAUGCGGGGGGAGGCGCAGGGAAACCGAGUGUUAACAGCGCGAUUAGUACUGGAUGGAAGACCCGAAACCUAGUGAGCUAACCAUGAGCAGGGUGAUCCCCGAUGAAAAUCGGGGGGAGGCCCGCACUCGUCAGAGUUACAAAUCUGUGAGAUGACUUGUGGUUAGGGGUAAUAUGCCAAUCGAACUAGGAGAUAGCUGGUUCUCCCCGAAAUAUAUAUAGGUAUAGCCUUCCGCUAAUGAUUACCAGAGGUAGAGCACUGGAUGGGUGUAGCAGCGCAAGUUGUUGCUCUCAAUCAAACUCCGAAUUCUGGUAUUUGGGCGGGGGAGUCAGAACGACCCGGCUAAGCGGGCCGCUCUAAAGGGAAACAACCCAGACUGUCGUCUAAGGUCUCUAAAUGAAUACUAAGUGUUGAACGAAGUCAGAUUUCUCGGACAACCAGGAGGUUGGCUCAGAAGCAGCCAUCCUUUAAAGAAAGCGUAACAGCUCACUGGUCGAUUUGGAAAUUUGGCGCGAAAAAUUUACCGAGGCUAAGUAUUCUACCGAAGACACAGAUGCGCGCAAGCGCGUGGUAGGGGAGCGUUGAGAGAACAGUGAAGUCCCUCCGCGAGGGUCGGGAUGGAGUGAUCUCAAGUGAGAAUGCCGGAAUGAGUAGCGUAAUGGUUGUGAGAAUCAACCACGUCGAAAACCCAAGGUUUCCCCCGCGACAUUGUUUGACGGGGGGUGAGUCGGCACCUAAGGCGAGGCCGCAGUUGGCGUAGCUAAUGGACGAGCCGUAGAUAUUCGGCUACAUGGUGAGUAUCGUCAUCAGUUAGGGAUGGACGGGAUAGGAGUAACCAGAUGUUGUUGUGAUAUAUGACAUCUAAGCCACAAAAUAGCUGGUCUUGGAAAAUCCAGAUUGGCGUUUAAUUGAGUGGUGACGGGGAGUUGGGGUUGCGAGACUUCGACAACUUGGUGAUCUUCAAUCCUCAAGAAAAGAUUCGUAACGAGAUGUUUAUCAUGCCGUACCGCAAACCGACACUGGUGGGUUGGUCGAGAAGACUAAGACGAUCGGGAGAAGGUAGUUCAAGGAACUCGGCAAAAAAGCUGGACGUAAGCUAUGCAAGAUGUCCUACCACGUUAAUCGUGGUUACAACAAAAGAUUAUUCCGCGACUGUUUAACUAAAACACAGGUCCGUGCGAACUCGAAAGAGACGGUAUACGGGCUGAGACCUGCCCAGUGCUCGCAAGUCAAGUGGAUGAGUGAGAUUACAUCAAGCUCUGAAAUGAAGCCCGAGUGAACGGCAGCAGUAACUAUAACUGUUCGAUGGUAGCGAAGUUCCUUGUCAGGUAAGUUCUGACCCGCAUGAAAGGUAUAACGACGGAAUAACUGUCUUGAACUAUCACCCGGCGAAUUUGAAAUGGCUGUGAAGAUGCGGCCUACCUCUACUAGGACAAAAAGACCCUAUGGAGCUUUACUGCAACCAGGCGCUGUUUUGGAUAUUGGAAUAGUUUAGUGUAGGAGGGAGCCGCAAGGCAAUCUUGAAACACCUCUCGUUUUGAUAUCUCAAGACUCACUCAACCCCACUGGAAACGCGGGGGAGGACAAGGUCUGGCGGGCAGUUUUACUGGGGAGGUACCCUGCUAAAAGGUAACGCAGGGGUACAAAGGUGCACUAGGCUCGGAUGGAAAUCGAGCGGUUUGUGUAACGGCAUAAGUGCGCUUGACUGUGAGAGCGUCAGCUCGAACAGGUGCGAAAGCAGGUCGUAGUGAUCCCCCGAUCCUGCGUGGGCGGGACGGGGCUUAACGGAUAAAAGCUACCCUAGGGAUAACAGGCUGAUCGCCGCCAAGAGUUCAUAUCGACGCGGCGGUUUGGCACCUCGAUGUCGGCUCACCGCAUCCUGGGGGGGCAGUACCUCCCAAGGGUCCGUCUGUUCGCCGGUUAAAGCGGUACGCGAGCUGGGUUCAGAACGUCGUAAGACAGUUGAGACUGAUGACAUAUCAGUCUGACAAUUGAGCUGUCUAUCAUCUACGCGUUUAGAACGUUAAUUUAUAUUAUGCGAGGAACUGUUAUUUUGAUGAUUCCACAACCAGUGUGGAGAAAAUUUGACUAUAUGCUG
rnacentral:rRNA from 1 species